rnacentral:rRNA from 1 species
AUUGAACGCUGGCGGCAUGCCUUACACAUGCAAGUCGAACGGUAACAGGUCUUCGGAUGCUGACGAGUGGCGAACGGGUGAGUAAUACAUCGGAACGUGCCCGAGAGUGGGGGAUAACGAGGCGAAAGCUUUGCUAAUACCGCAUACGAUCUCAGGAUGAAAGCAGGGGACCGCAAGGCCUUGCGCUCACGGAGCGGCCGAUGGCAGAGUAGGUAGUUGUGGAUGGGUGGGAUAAAAGCUUACCAAGCCGACGAUCUGUAGCUGGUCUGAGAGGACGACCAGCCACACGGGGACUGAGACACAGCCCAGACUCCUACGGGAGGCAGCAGUGGGGAAUUUUGGACAAUGGGCGCAAGCCGGACUCAGCCAUGCCGCGUGCAGGAUGAAGGGCUUCGGGUUGUAAACUGCUUUUGUACGGAACGAAAAGACUCUGGUUAAUACCUGGGGUCCAUGACGGUACCGUAAGAAUAAGCACCGGCUAACUACGUGCCAGCAGCCGCCGUAAUAC